rnacentral:misc_RNA from 1 species
AAAAAGUUAGAUUAAUUAUUUUGCUUUUAAAACUUCAAUAUUUUUAUUGAAAGUAAAAAAUAUAAUCCAAUGUACUUGCACCAAAGAUAGGUCGGGUUUUGUACCAAAAUUGCAGAUGAUAAUCUUUUUCCACAGUACAGAUCAUGUGCCCAACAUCAGCUAUAUACAAGUUGAAAUCUGUUGAUAAUAACCACCUUAUUAAGACAGAAAACAGUCGUGUAAAAACCUACACAUGCAUUGAUGCCUUUGAAGUGCGAUGAUUUGUUCCAAGAACAAUCACAAUUACAGUUACAUCAUCAUGGUAUUUCCUUCUCCUACCAGCUGGUAUGUUCAUCAAUUCUUCCAUGCUGAAACCUGCAUCAAGAAUAUUUAAGCCAUUGAUAUCUGGAUGAGCAAUAAGCUUCGUACAUACUAUAAAGGUCAAUAAAUACUUGGAGAAUUAAGCACAUAAAAUUAGUGUGCCAGUUACCAUUUUGCUAGCUACUUGAUGAAAUUUUUAGAAAAUCAAAGAUUCAUCCUUUUCUUUGUUAUUUUUUGGGUAGGGAGCAGCCUAUACUGAGCAUAUGCUCAGAUGCGUGUGACAAUGUGAGUUGCAUUGGCAUGUCUUUGGGCGCAAAGCAUAUAUUUGAAUUGCAUUUAUCAUUUAUCAUUUAUAAUGGACUGCAAUAAUACAAAACAUUUGAAGUGUUUAAUCACAAUGCGGAAAAAUGAAAAGAAGCAUUCAAAUAAAAAGAGAAAGACUGGUUGGUAUGAAUGAAAUAGACAUAGAAGAAUGAUAUAAACCUUGCCAGAAAAGUUACCUGCACAAUCUGCUGCUCUCACCACAAGCUGCUCUAACAGAAAUUUUGCUGGAUCACCAGUAGGGUUGCUCAAGAUAUAAGAAUGGACAAGCUUUACUGCCUCAUCGUUGCUGAAGAAGUCAAAUAAUCCAUCACUCCCAACUAUGACAAAGUGAUCAGACUUUGAUACUUUAUGCACAUUCAUUGAUGGUUGGGUAGAAAUAUAUGGGGGGCUUAUGAGGUUACGAACUUGAAGGAUACCCAUCAAAGCAUCAUUUAGCUUUUUCUUUUUCAAGUAACCAACUCCAAAAGCUCGAGUGACCUUCAAUUUUCCUUUCACUUUACCAAAAACAAUUGUUGCAGGGUCAUCAGGAUGGUCAUUCAAUAGCAUGGUUCUUUCAAGUUCAUUGUCAACAGUGUGACAUUCACUGAGCUGGACAGCUUUUAGUUGCUCAUACCCAUUCACCACAUUGUCUCCAUUAUAUGUUGCCAAAACAACCCUACUAUCACCUAAAUUCAGUGUAUACAAAUCUGUUCCAUGAAGAAGAACAACCAAGACACAAGAUCCUACGGAAACUAGAUCAGGGCGUUCCUCCAUUUCUUGCUCUACCAUGUUUAAGAAAUCAUUCUCAGCCUGACUAAGAGCCCGCUGGAGGCUAUCAAGUACUUCAUACCUAAAUGAAUCAGAUGAAAUUUCCAGUUUGGAAUGCAUUCCAUUCAUGGCGACUAAGUUAAUAUUUGAAUUCUUAUUAUUAAGACUUCCCGAUGGACUUUUCCCCCCAAGACUAUGAUCACCGGCCUCUGGAGGAUGUUGAAGGGACCCAUCCAGAGACAUGCCAUUGGAAGCUCUGGUUACAUUCUGCUUCAAUUCCCAGUCUAAAGAGUUGGUGUGAAAGAUGAUGUUUUCAUACAAUGUCCCAGCCAGAAAAUCAGCUGCAUCUCUUCCAUUAAAGCCAUCAUAGAUUGCACAAAGAAGCCACCCAUUUUCUUCAGAACAGACAGCUUGGACCCUGUCUUCACCCGCAGCUCCACCUGCAACUUGAACUUCAAUGGCAUUAAGAAAGCCUUCACUUCUAGAAGGAGCACUCAUUGAUUUUAAAGAAUAAGAAUCAUAUUCUGGCGGACUUGAAGUGGAUGGGCUGCAACUUAAGUUUGACAUACUGCUUUGGAGAGAAGAUGAUAAUAUGUCCAACAUUGAAAGGGUUGGUGAAGAGGGAACUUUUCGGAAUGAAUUUGGGGAGUCCAAACUGGGAAGUAUUUCUGCUCCUAUCACACCAUUGCAGAUAUUGGUGUUAGCCAAAGUGGCAUUAGCACUUAAGGCAGCACCAGACAAGCAAGAGAAGCUGCUAUUCCUGUAGAGUUUAGUGCUCUGCAGGGUUUCAUACCCAUUGGAAAGCAUACAAGAGCUGCCACUGGGGCCAUUGCAAUGAUAGCCAAAACUCACUUUGAUUUCUCCCUCAGGAUUAAUUGAAUUUGCCCCUCUCAUUGUUUAUGACUAAAAUAAUGGAAGCAAAUGCAAUGUUAAUAUCCUUAAUAAUAAUGCUGAAAAAAUUUUUAUAAAUAAAUUCAAAAUUUCAGAAGUCUAGCAUGUACAUAAUUCAGUGACUAUCACACCCCAAUCUGUCAUCUGAAGAUCAGUCAGAAACAUACAAAUUAUAAAGCUAAGAAAAGACAGUAGAAAACACAGACAAACAGAUAUUUAGAAGUAAUUUAUGGAUGUAAAUCAUGAGGAACAUCUUAGGUCGAUCAUUGGUCAGUUAUAAAAAAAGAUCUCAGGAGACAUCAAUUCUUUGCAAUUUGCAGUAAAAACACAUCCAUAUGAACCUAUGAGCUAACAGACAUAUCGACUAACAGAGAUCACAAAAGCACUCCUAGCAUAUGGCGAGUGUAUCUCCAUUUACCAGGCUUUGUCUAAAAUCCAGAAAUUAAAGCAUUGAAAUUUGAUUACAGGAAGAUUCUAAUAAAUCCAUGGUCUUUUAAGAAACAGCAUUUAAUACAAUAACCACAACUCAUUCUUUUUAUUAGGCUGCUAGUUCUGUUAAAAUAUCUAACUUUGCGUGUAGGCAACAAAGCAAAGAUCUGUUACAAGAAUUAGCUUUAUUUCAUUUCGAACCUAGAAUCUCCUCCAACUUCAAUUUUUUAAUCCUUCAUCCUCUCAUGGUGGGUGAAAGCAUUCGAGAAUUGAAACAUAAAAAAGUGUUAAUUAUCAUUCAGAUCACAGUAAUAGGAUAGAUUUCAACUCUAAAAAUUAUAAACCCUUUUGAUGAGUUCAAAUGGAGAAAGGGAGACUUUAGAGCACAAGGGAUAAAACCCAAGAACAAAAGCAAAUUGUUACACGAAAGAUAACCGAAAAGAUCAAUAACGUCAAAAGCAUUCUUAGAAACUCUUCGCUAUACCAAAGUUUAGAGGUCCUAGAACCGACUGUCAGUAAGUACAUAGACAUACUCAGGCAGAUUGCUCUCCUUCAAUUUUCUAAGAAACUUAGAUUAAAUGAGUUAUUUAUUUUGGUAUCGUAACAUGAGAAAAUACUAUUGAAGGCUAAAUGUGAAUAGAAGUUCAAUUAAGGCAAUCAACUCAAACAUCAGCAAAACUAGAGAAUCAACAGAGCAAGAGUAAAGCCUACAACUUUUGUCCAAAAUUCAGUACUCCCCAAAGCAAUACACUGCCGAAAUAAACAGAAAUACACAAACACACAGAACAAGAACGUAUAAAGUAUUUCAAUUAAAAAAAACACACAAAGAAUAAGAAAAAACCAAGACCCACCCCAGACCCUUUAUCCUCCAAGAUGCCCAGAUGAAGAAAACCGUGAAACCAGAAUGCGACAGUAUAUCUCUGCAGUACAGAGUAUAAGCAGUGAAGAGUAAGUGAAGAGAAGAGAACGAUGAGCAGAAGGGUGUGAGUUAAUAAAAAAGCCAAGAAAAAAAAAAUAUAAAAGCAGAGGAAUAAGCAAAGAAGAGAAGGAGUCACGCAGAGAGAGAGAGCGAGAGAGAGAUAGAAAUAGAAGGAAACAAAAAAGACUAGUGGAGAAUCUGUAUCGAAGAGGAACGUCAAAAGCGUUGCUUUAGAGCUUGGAGAGAGGGAGAGAGAGGAGACAAUGGAUGGUGGAGAAGGGUCUUUGCCAUAACCAGAGGAAUUUUUCUUUGGCUCAAAUUUGAGUCCACAUCAAAAGGAUUCAACCAUUACCAGUAACGCUUGUUUUUGAACUCUCUCUUUCUUCUCGUCUCUCCGCCCCUUCAGAGACUCAUUCUAUGACCGUACUUCUCUUCAACUUCUCUCCCCGAGAUUGCCGCGUUUCCUCUUCUAAAU